GCAGACACAUUCCAGCCAAUCAGCAGCAGGCCCUCCCUCCCAGACCCUCCCACCUCCUGGACAGCAUCCAUUUUACAUUCAUUGUGAAGCUGCAUUCUUAGUGAGCUGUCCAGGAGGUGGGAGGGUCUGGGAGGGAGGGUCUGUUGCUGAUUGGCUGGAAUGUAUCUG
rnacentral:miRNA from 1 species